rnacentral:tRNA from 1 species
UGGGAUGUCGCCAAGCUGGUAAGGCAGGAGAUUUUGAAUCUCCCAUGCGCUGGUUCGAAUCCAGCCAUCCCAUCCA